UGUUUUCAAUUUUCAUCAUCCUUUUCUGAUUUAUUCUUUCUCUGAAUUUUCGGUCUCCUUUUCUUCAUGCAUUGCCAUAAGCAUAUCGUAGCUGCAUUAUGUUGCGGGUGAAAGAAACGAGAACAUUGCCACUAGGGUUCUUUUUUCUCUGCAUUUCGUGAUGCCCUUGGUAAUGUGAAGCAGAACGGUGGCAGAGAAGAAGCUAUCCAUGUAGUGAAAGAACAAACACUGCAUCACCUCUCUCGCCUCUUCAAGGAUUUCAAGGCCUCUGCUAUCGCUACAUAAUGAAAUUGGAAUGGAUCCACUAGUCAUUAGAGUAAGGGCAGUGCCUGGGCAUGUUGCUGCGGAUAACUUUGCUCUUGUUUAUGCAUUUUGGUCAGUGUUAAUUCAAAAAUUGGCUAAAGUUGGAUAUGAAGGGAAGAACGUAUACAUGGCUUCCUAUGAUUGGAAACUUUCUUUCGAAAAUACUCGGGUUCAAUUAUUAUUUCAAGAGUAAGCCUUCAAUUAUAAUUUCUGGAGAGGUACAGAGAGAUUGAUGGACGCUAGCUAUCUAGUUAGAUUUGUUGAAGACCCAAUACUGAAGGCAUCCUUAUUCUUGAGGUUGGUGCAGUUUUCUUUCUUUUUCUUUUUU